rnacentral:rRNA from 1 species
UACGUAGGGAGCAAGCGUUGUUCGGAUUUACUGGGCGUAAAGGGCGCGUAGGCGGCGCGGUAAGUCACUUGUGAAAUCUCUGAGCUUAACUCAGAACGGCCAAGUGAUACUGCAGUGCUAGAGUGCAGAAGGGGCAAUCGGAAUUCUUGGUGUAGCGGUGAAAUGCGCAGAUAUCAGGAGGAACACCAGCGGCGAAGGCGGCGCUCUGGGCCGGAACUGACGCUGAGGAGCGAAAGCGUGGGUAGCAAACAGG